rnacentral:rRNA from 1 species
AAGCUUCAGUUACAAAGAGACCGUACCGCAAACCGACACAGGUGGGCAGGAUGAGAAUUCUAAGGCGCUUGAGAGAACUCAGGAGAAGGAACUCGGCAAAUUAGCACCGUAACUUCGGGAGAAGGUGCGCCCUGGUAGCGUGAAAGCCCUCGCGGCUGGAGCGUGAAAGGGUUGCAGUGAAAUGGUGGCUGCGACUGUUUAAUAAAAACACAGCACUCUGCAAACACGAAAGUGGACGUAUAGGGUGUGACGCCUGCCCGGUGCCGGAAGGUUAAGUGAUGGGGUGCAGCUCUUGAUCGAAGCCCCGGUAAACGGCGGCCGUAACAAUAACGGUCCUAAGGUAGCGAAAUUCCUUGUCGGGUAAGUUCCGACCUGCACGAAUGGCGUAACGAUGGCCACACUGUCUCCUCCUGAGACUCAGCGAAGUUGAAAUGUUUGUGAAGAUGCAAUCUCCCCGCGGCAAGACGGAAAGACCCCAUGAACCUUUACUGUAGCUUUGCAUUGGACUUUGAACCGGUCUGUGUAGGAUAGGUGGGAGGCUUUGAAGCUGGGACGCUAGUUCUGGUGGAGCCAACCUUGAAAUACCACCCUGGUUUGUUUGAGGUUCUAACCAUGGCCCGUGAAUCCGGGUCUGGGACCGUGCAUGGUAGGCAGUUUGACUGGGGCGGUCUCCUCCCAAAGUGUAACGGAGGAGUACGAAGGUACGCUAGGUACGGUCGGACAUCGUGCUAAUAGUGCAAUGGCAUAAGCGUGCUUGACUGCGAGACCCACAAGUCGAGCAGGUACGAAAGUAGGUCAUAGUGAUCCGGUGGUUCUGUAUGGAAGGGCCAUCGCUCAACGGAUAAAAGGUACUCUGGGGAUAACAGGCUGAUACCGCCCAAGAGUUCAUAUCGACGGCGGUGUUUGGCACCUCGAUGUCGGCUCAUCACAUCCUGGGGCUGUAGCCGGUCCCAAGGGUAUGGCUGUUCGCCAUUUAAAGUGGUACGUGAGCUGGGUUUAAAACGUCGUGAGACAGUUUGGUCCCUAUCUGCCGUGGGCGCUGGAAAUUUGAAGGGACCUGCUCCUAGUACGAGAGGACCGGAGUGGACUAACCUCUGGUGUACCGGUUAUGACGCCAGUCGUAUCGCCGGGUAGCUAAGUUGGGAAGAGAUAAACGCUGAAAGCAUCUAAGCGUGAAACUCGCCUUAAGAUAAGAUUUCCCUGGGGACUUGAUCCCCCUGAAGGGUCGUCGAAGACCACGACGUUGAUAGGCUGGGUGUGGAAGCGCAGCAAUGCGUUAAGCUAACCAGUACUAAUUGCCCGUGUGGCUUGAUCCU